rnacentral:lncRNA from 13 species
AUGCAGCUGUUCAGGGAAGCUAGAAACCAUUAUACACAGGCAGUUAGAAAAGCCAAGGCUAGCUUUUUCAAGCAGAAAUUUGCUUCCUGCAACACUAACUCAAAAAAGUUCUGGGACACUGUAAAGUCCAUGGAGAAUAAGAACACCUCCUCCCAGCUGCCCACUGCACUGAAGAUAGGAAACACUGUCACCACUGAUAAAUCCACCAUAAUUGAGAAUUUCAAUAAGCAUUUUUCUACGGCUGGCCAUGCUUUCCACCUGGCUACUCCUACCCCGGUCAACAGCACUGCACCCCCAACAGCAACUCGCCCAAGCCUUCCCCAUUUCUCCUUCUCCCAAAUCCAUUCAGCUGAUGUUCUGAAAGAGCUGCAAAAUCUGGACNNNNNNNNNNACCCCUACAAAUCAGCCGGGCUAGACAAUCUGGACCCUUUCUUUCUAAAAUUAUCUGCCGAAAUUGUUGCCACCCCUAUUACUAGCCUGUUCAACCUCUCUUUCGUGUCGUCUGAGAUUCCCAAAGAUUGGAAAGCAGCUGCGGUCAUCCCCCUCUUCAAAGGGGGGGACACUCUUGACCCAAACUGCUACAGACCUAUAUCUAUCCUACCAUGCCUUUCUAAGGUCUUCGAAAGUCAAGUCAACAAACAGAUUACCGACCAUUUCGAAUCUCACCAUACCUUCUCUGCUAUGCAAUCUGGUUUCAGAGCUGGUCAUGGGUGCACCUCAGCCACGCUCAAGGUCCUAAAUGAUAUCUUAACCGCCAUCGAUAAGAAACAUUACUGUGCAGCCGUAUUCAUUGAUCUGGCCAAGGCUUUCGACUCUGUCAAUCACCACAUCCUCAUCGACAGCCUUGGUUUCUCAAAUGAUUGCCUCGCCUGGUUCACCAACUACUUCUCUGAUAGAGUUCAGUGUGUCAAAUCGGAGGGUCUGUUGUCCGGACCUCUGGCAGUCUCUAUGGGGGUGCCACAGGGUUCAAUUCUUGGACCAACUCAUCUCUGUAUACAUCAAUGA